CAAUAGCGUAUAUUAAAGUUGUUGCGGUUAAAAGUUCGUAGUUGGAUUUCUGCCGAGGACGUUCGGUCCGCCCUCUGGGUGAGUACAUGGCACGGCCUGGGCAUCUUCUUGGGGAACGUAUCUGCACUUGACUGUGUGGUGCGGUAUCCAGGAUUCUUACUUUGAGGAAAUUAGAGUGUUUCAAGCAGGCACACGCCUUGAAUACAUUAGCAUGGAAUAAUAAGAUAGGACCUCGGUUCUAUUUUGUUGGUUUCUAGAGCUGAGGUAAUGAUUAAUAGGGAUAGUUGGGGGCAUUCGUAUUUAACUGUCAGGGGUGAAAUUCUUGGAUUUACGGAAGAUAAACUACUGCGAAAGCAUUCGCCAAGGAUGUUUUCAUUAAUCAAGAACGAAAGUUAGGGGAUCGAAGACGAUUAGAUACCAU
rnacentral:rRNA from 1 species